AUGCUCGGAUAUGGAAAGGAUUCGCACUCCUAUAGAGUCUUCAAUCUCUUUCAUUACAAAGUGGUUGAAACAGUGGAUGUGCGGUUCGAUGAGACCAACGGUUCACAAAGAGAGCAACUGCCAAAUGUGCUAGAUGAAGUUCCAUCCAGUGAAUCAAUCAAGCUAAUGGGAACUGGAGAAAUUAUACCUUCUGAAGCUCAUUCUGAAGAAGAACUUAUCAUCUCAGCACCUGAUCAACAUGAAGACAAUGCUCAGCCUGAAGACAUUCCUUCUAACAAUGACAAUGAUCAGCAAGAGCAAAAACCUUCGCCCUGUACAUCCUCGCAUUGCCAAUGA
rnacentral:rRNA from 1 species